AGACCUAUACACACAAAAAACGGCAGCUUGGAGAUCAUCUCCUUCAACAACAAAAACGCUAGAUUCAAGCUCAUCUCUUAAAAAAUUUGAUUAUUCUAUCUUCUCAUAGACAAGAGAAAGCAGCCGCAAUUCUUCACGUCAAAAUCAGGGGCGGAUUUAGGGGCGCAAGGGUGUUUACCCGAACAACCUUCGCCGAAAAAUUACACUGUAUAUAUAAGGCAAAAUUUGUUUUUUACCUCUAUAUAUUAAGUUUUGAACACCCUUAACACAAUUCAAAAGUAUAAUUUAGUGGUCAACUAUGUUCAAAUGGGUUCUGUUCCCACAAAAUGACAGUCAUUCACCAUUUUUGGUAGAUUCCUUUGCCACCCUUCAUCAGCCGCUCAACUCCACCCUAAUCCUCAGCAAAAACAGCCCCAGAAACAAGCUCGAAAACCAUCCCUUUCUCAUCCCAAAACAGUCAGCAAAAUCCAGCUCAAAAAUAGCCAAAAACGCAGCUGAAAUCACCUUGAAAAAUGCAGCAAAAAUCAGCCAUGUAAACCAUCUCUGUUAGCUCCCUGCCUCGCCGAACGUUUUGCCGGAGUUCUGCCAUCUCCGGCUAACUCUUUUCUGUUUGAAAAUAGUUCGGAUUCAGCCAUAAAUCAGUCCAAAACCAACGCCGGUCAGACUUUAAACCACCUGCAAAAACAGCCGAGGUUGUGUUCGAGUUUCCGGCGUUGAUUCCGGUCUCUGUUACCAUCAAAUAACUGCUGCUGUAAAGUUUUGCCAGAGGAUCAUUUUAAUGAGGAAAGCUAUUUUGAAGAUUAUAUUGUAAUUGCCCCGUCGUAGCCUCGUCACUACCUCGUCGAGGUUAGGCUCGGCAUUUACCAGUACAUGGGGUCGGUUGUACUGAUACUGCACUAUGCACUUUAUGUGCACAUUUCGGAGCAGGUAGUGGCUGAUUGAGAGAUUGGCUGCAGGUUCACAGUUUGGAGACCCAAGGUAGUCCUGCUGGCGUCCGCAGACCCCGCCGUCCCCUUCUACAUUUCUAUAUUUAUGUUUUUCUUUCUUUUCAAAACAGAUGUAAUUUCUUUCAGGCCGAUAUUUGUAGUAAAUCAUAGUAUGUUCGUGGAUUGUGACACCGGAUUCUGGAUUAUAAUUGCUACAAUAUUGGUAAUAGUAUAUAUACACAGAGGCUGUUUACUUAA